rnacentral:rRNA from 1 species
GACGAACGCUGGCGGCGUGCUUAACACAUGCAAGUCGAACGCUGAAGCUCAGCUUUUGUUGGGUGGAUGAGUGGCGAACGGGUGAGUAACACGUGAGUAACCUGCCUCCUUCUUUGGGAUAACGCCCGGAAACGGGUGCUAAUACUGGAUAUUCACUGGUCUUCGCAUGGGGGUUGGUGGAAAGGGUUUUUCUGGUGGGGGACGGGCUCGCGGCCUAUCAGCUUGUUGGUGGGGUGAUGGCCUACCAAGGCUUUGACGGGUAGCCGGCCUGAGAGGGUGACCGGUCACAUUGGGACUGAGAUACGGCCCAGGCUCCUACGGGAGGCAGCAGUGGGGAAUAUUGCGCAAUGGGCGCAAGCCUGAUGCAGCGACGCCGCGUGAGGGAUGGAGGCCUUGGGGUUGUGAACCUCUUUCGCUCAUGGUCAAGCCGCAACAAUGGUUGUGGUGAGGGUAGUGGGUAAAGAAGCGCCGGCUAACUACGUG